GUUGUACUCCCUCCGUCCGAAAAAGCUUGUCCCAAGCUUGUCCCUCAAAUGAAUAUAUCUAGCACUAACUUGGUGCUAGAUACAUUCAUUUGAGGGACAAGCUUUUUCGGACGGAGGGAGUAUUUA
rnacentral:pre_miRNA from 1 species